AUCGAUACCGCCCAUCCCCGAGACCACCCGUGACCCUCUCUCUUUCUCUGUCGCCCCCAUCUCGCGUAGCGCAAAGGGUGCCGCCGCUGGCUCAUCCUCCAUCUCCCGAACGCGACGCCGGUAGUGGAGGAGAACGAGGAAAACUAAAGGAUUUGCCUUGGGGGGAGGGAGGGGGGGAAGAAGGAUCUACAGGGGAAGAGGAAGAGAAGGGCUGCAAAAUGACUAGGAGGCCGGAGAUACUCGCACGCCUCUUCUUGACACAGCUCUCCCAAAUCCUAAGAAAUGCCACUACUGCUCCCGCGAAAGUGACUACAACCGCUGCCAUGGGAUUGAGAAAAUCAUUGGAUCUAUCCAAGUUCCUUGCUCCAACACCAAGUACGGAUGCUCCAUUAAGACAAGCUACUACGAGAGGGAAGAUCAUGAGACAACAUGCCCACAUGCUCCAUGCUUCUGUCCUGACACCGGCUGUAGCUUCUCCGGAUCAACUGGAAUGCUCCAAGAACAUUUCAUUGCCGUGCACCAGUGGCCUUCCACCAAGUUCAGGUAUGACUGGUGCUUUUACGCCAACAUCCAGGAAGGGAUUCGUGUCAUCUCCGGCGAAGACAAGCAGUUGUUCCUGCUCAACGUUGUGUCGGAGUCGUUUGGCUGUGUCAUCUCGGUGUUCUGCGUGUGGCCUCAUGACACUGACCCGAAAUUCCGGUGUGCUAUGUCCUUCAACUACUGGAAGAACAGUCUGUACCAUGCCCGGUCUUCAGAAUUCCAAGUGCCAAGCACGACACUCUCUGAUGGGUUACCAAGGGAUUGCUUCCUGUUCAUUAUGCCCAAGUUUUAUCUAGACGAGGACAGCAAAAUCUGUGCCACUGAGGAGGGCUUCAGCAUGAAAAACCUGAGGCCACGGUGCUCGUUUUCACAUGUAAUCCUUUUUUUUUUGCUUCGGGACAAGUGAGCUCUACCGUAAUGAUGGGUUUAGCGGCAAGUAUCCCUAUUAUCCCUAUUAUGUACCGGUGUUAUUUUGGUAGAAUGUUAGGCACUUAGGUAUGGUCGAUUUGGAUAUCAAGUUGUAAAAGCACUCAGGUUUGUUACCAGUACUCUUGGGACAAAUUCGGGAAGAUGGGUUUCGGUGCACAAAGCUCUCUAUUUUAUUGCACUCUUGUUUAUUUGUACUAUUCUCACCAGUCGUUUAUACUUUAUACAUGUCUUCUGUGACGUGUUAGCAGGAACUAAGCAGCCUGUGAGUUUACUCUCCCGGGUCCAGGCCUCCAGGGUCUUCAUCUUCCCAUGGAAAGUGCAACCUGAUGGAAACUCAAUGGAUGAAUUUGUGGUAACCCUCUAAUGGCUCUCUGACUAAUUACUGAUGCAGCUUAGGUUUAUGCAUUCAUGCAUUUGCUCCUGAGUUCUGACCUUGGUUAACAGGUCUCUUUUGUCAACUUUUUCGAAUCCGAACUUUGAAAUCGAGUAGAAAUGCAUUUGCAUUGCUCCUCCACGAUCCUGACCUUGUUUGCAUUCA